GGUCUUCAGGAGAAGCGUAUUAUAUUGCGUUACGGUAAUCAACGGUUCAGGCAAGUUUUUCAAGUUCUUUUUACUUAAACUCUUUUAAGAGUGGUUUCAGACAGAUAUGCUUAUGAAUUGUACUCUGUACAUAUUGCAUGUAUUCAUCAGGUAUGAAAGGCUGAUCACCUUCAUUACCAGUCAGUUCAGAUAUAAUUGUUAUGUUCAUUUUCAAUGUUCAUUCAGCUUUGAAAUUUUGUUCAUGCUAAUUCACAACUACAUUGUGAAGGAUAGCCAGCUUAUUAUUCAAACUCUUUCAAUCAUGAUAUAUCUUUACCUUGUUUUUUUUAAACUUGCUGGGCAACUUUCAUGCUCACCCUUGCUAUAUCAUGAUAAAACAUUGCAGAUAAGGCGAAUACGGCCAGAUACAGGAAAAGGAUAAUGCCAAGUUCAGCUUGGGAUAGAAUGUGAAGUUAAGUUGUAAAGUAUGUUGAAGAAUAGUAUUGUCAUGUGUUAGACAGUUCACGAUUGUGUAUUAGUUAAGGUUACUCGAUUUUGGGAAUAGUGUGUAAAGUUUAAUGUAUAAACAAUUUAUGUUUAUAUCUUCCGCAACAGUUGUAGAAAUAGCAAACCGGAUCCGCGGCGAUUCGGGACCCGGAUUUGGGGGACGCUACAGUUGGUAUCAAAGCUGUUGGUUAUGAAGCUUAGGUAGCAAUACCUUAGACCAAUAACCGCAGUGAUUAGGAUAAGUACUAACUCACAUAGAGUUAGUUGAAGAAUCUCGCAGGGUCAGAAAGUUAGGUUUAAGUAUGGUACCAUUGUACUCGAAACUAGUUGAUGUAUGGUAUCUGGGCUAAACGAUUCCUUCAUAGAGCGGAGGUAUAUACGAACUAGCAACUCGGAACCUAGUUUGUUGGUUGUUUGUGGGAAACCACUCAGCGUACCAUAUUGAAAACUGUUAGAGACUCGAUGUGUACCAAGUAUAGGAAGUGGAUAGAUAGAGUCUAAGAGAUUACAAGUGUAAGGAUGGGAGAUCGUAAAACAAAACGAUCACAGAAUAGCAAUGAAUCGUAAUAUAUACGAUGAGAUCACUCCGUGAUCUGAUAAGGUUAUGGUAUGAAGAAAGAUCCAGAGAAUGAUGAAAAGUUUACAGCAAGAUUGCUGUGUAUGAAUUGUACUAUAAAUUGGUACAGAUCCAGAAGAGAAUUAUAAAUACGAAUUAAAUUCGUAUGGAGAAGGGGUUAGUGUUAGGUGGGGAUUCAAUUGAGGACUCAUGUCGGCAGCUGAGUUGUAUGAUUCUUCGUAUGGGAGCUGAAUUGUACUUGGUGUAAAAACCACUUAGUUUCUGGCACUGAUAAUCAUUGAAAUGU
rnacentral:lncRNA from 1 species